AACGAACGCUGGCGGCAUGCCUAACACAUGCAAGUCGAACGAGACCAUCGGGUCUAGUGGCGCACGGGUGCGUAACGCGUGGGAACCUGCCCUUAGGUUCGGAAUAACUCCCCGAAAGGGGUGCUAAUACCGGAUAAUGUCUUCGGACCAAAGAUUUUUCGCCUUUGGAUGGGCCAGCGUUGGAUUAGGUUGUUGGUAGGGUAAAAGCCUACCAAGGCGACGAUGCAUAGCUGGUCUGAGAGGAUGAUCAGCCACACGGGGACUGAGACACGGCCCAGACGCCUGCGGGAGGACGCAGCCGGGACUCUUGCGGGAGGGGCGAAAGGGUGAUGUAGCAAAGUGGCGUGAAUCAUGAAGGACUUAGGCUUGGAAAGUAAUGUGAGCGGGGAGGAAGAAAGUCUUUUUAACCCGUGAACAUAUUGACGGUACCGGAAGAAGAAGCUCCGGCUAACUCCGUG
rnacentral:rRNA from 1 species